UGAUUCCUGGCUCAGGAUGAACGCUAGCUACAGGCUUAACACAUGCAAGUCGAGGGGCAGCAUGGUCUUAGCUUGCUAAGGCCGAUGGCGACCGGCGCACGGGUGAGUAACACGUAUCCAACCUGCCGUCUACUCUUGGACAGCCUUCUGAAAGGAAGAUUAAUACAAGAUGGCAUCAUGAGUCCGCAUGUUCACAUGAUUAAAGGUAUUCCGGUAGACGAUGGGGAUGCGUUCCAUUAGAUAGUAGGCGGGGUAACGGCCCACCUAGUCUUCGAUGGAUAGGGGUUCUGAGAGGAAGGUCCCCCACAUUGGAACUGAGACACGGUCCAAACUCCUACGGGAGGCAGCAGUGAGGAAUAUUGGUCAAUGGGCGAGAGCCUGAACCAGCCAAGUAGCGUGAAGGAUGACUGCCCUAUGGGUUGUAAACUUCUUUUAUAAAGGAAUAAAGUCGGGUAUGGAUACCCGUUUGCAUGUACUUUAUGAAUAAGGAUCGGCUAACUCCGUGCCAGCAGCCGCGGUAAUACGGAGGAUCCGAGCGUUAUCCGGAUUUAUUGGGUUUAAAGGGAGCGUAGAUGGAUGUUUAAGUCAGUUGUGAAAGUUUGCGGCUCAACCGUAAAAUUGCAGUUGAUACUGGAUAUCUUGAGUGCAGUUGAGGCAGGCGGAAUUCGUGGUGUAGCGGUGAAAUGCUUAGAUAUCACGAAGAACUCCGAUUGCGAAGGCAGCCUGCUAAGCUGCAACUGACAUUGAGGCUCGAAAGUGUGGGUAUCAAACAGGAUUAGAUACCCUGGUAGUCCACACGGUAAACGAUGAAUACUCGCUGUUUGCGAUAUACAGCAAGCGGCCAAGCGAAAGCGUUAAGUAUUCCACCUGGGGAGUACGCCGGCAACGGUGAAACUCAAAGGAAUUGACGGGGGCCCGCACAAGCGGAGGAACAUGUGGUUUAAUUCGAUGAUACGCGAGGAACCUUACCCGGGCUUAAAUUGCAGAUGAAUUACGGUGAAAGCCGUAAGCCGCAAGGCAUCUGUGAAGGUGCUGCAUGGUUGUCGUCAGCUCGUGCCGUGAGGUGUCGGCUUAAGUGCCAUAACGAGCGCAACCCUUGUUGUCAGUUACUAACAGGUUCCGCUGAGGACUCUGACAAGACUGCCAUCGUAAGAUGUGAGGAAGGUGGGGAUGACGUCAAAUCAGCACGGCCCUUACGUCCGGGGCUACACACGUGUUACAAUGGGGGGUACAGAGGGCCGCUACCACGCGAGUGGAUGCCAAUCCCCAAAACCUCUCUCAGUUCGGACUGGAGUCUGCAACCCGACUCCACGAAGCUGGAUUCGCUAGUAAUCGCGCAUCAGCCACGGCGCGGUGAAUACGUUCCCGGGCCU
rnacentral:rRNA from 1 species